rnacentral:rRNA from 1 species
ACGCUGGCGGCAGGCCUAACACAUGCAAGUCGAGCGGUAGCACGGGAGAGCUUGCUCUCUGGGUGACGAGCGGCGGACGGGUGAGUAAUGUCUGGGAAACUGCCUGAUGGAGGGGGAUAACUACUGGAAACGGUAGCUAAUACCGCAUGACCUCGCAAGAGCAAAGUGGGGGACCUUCGGGCCUCACGCCAUCGGAUGUGCCCAGAUGGGAUUAGCUAGUAGGUGGGGUAAUGGCUCACCUAGGCGACGAUCCCUAGCUGGUCUGAGAGGAUGACCAGCCACACUGGAACUGAGACACGGUCCAGACUCCUACGGGAGGCAGCAGUGGGGAAUAUUGCACAAUGGGCGCAAGCCUGAUGCAGCCAUGCCGCGUGUGUGGAGAAGGCCUUAGGGUUGUAAAGCACUUUCAGCGAGGAGGAAGGCGUUGUAGUUAAUAGCUGCAGCGAUUGACGUUACUCGCAGAAGAAGCACCGGCUAACUCCGUGCCAGCAGCCGCGGUAAUACGGAGGGUGCAAGCGUUAAUCGGAAUUACUGGGCGUAAAGCGCACGCAGGCGGUUCGUUAAGUCAGAUGUGAAAUCCCCGAGCUUAACUUGGGAACUGCAUUUGAAACUGGCAAGCUAGAGUCUUGUAGAGGGGGGUAGAAUUCCAGGUGUAGCGGUGAAAUGCGUAGAGAUCUGGAGGAAUACCGGUGGCGAAGGCGGCCCCCUGGACAAAGACUGACGCUCAGGUGCGAAAGCGUGGGGAGCAAAC